ACUAAAGAGAGAAGCGUCCGAUCAGGGGGCGGGGCUAAACGGCUGCGUGUGCAGUCAGUCCCUGCUGCCUGCUGUCCAAUGUGGGAAACUGAGGGGAGGAUCUAAGCUGCUGUAGACAUUACGGUGUGCUGCCAUGUGAUGUAUUAAGUGCCAAUGGAGGGACUGACAGAGCGGAUCUGCAGACUAUGAACAUCUAGCGAGGAAGAUUAGCCUCGCAGCUGCAUUCAAAAUGGAUUGUAGUGACCUCCGAUACAAUGCGGCAGGACACAAAGCUGAAAGCACCUACAGAACCAGUGUAAAGGGUGACUACACAAUGCUUAAGAAGAGAUUUGCCUGAAUUGGAAAAUGAAGUACCCACAGCUAACUCACAGUGGCUGCCAGAUAAAACACUUUAAGUUGAUAAAGGAGCAAAGCGUGACAUUUCCAGGGUUGAGCACUGCAUGCAGCUGUAAUUGACAUGCAUUAAUUCUGACAUUUCCUUAAAAAAUGCUGUUUACCUUUCACAGUACCGUCACCUGCCACUUCUGCCUCACUUUUUUACAGCUAUAAGACAAGACAAUGACCUUCCAAUCUAAUUAUCCUUCCAAAGUCUCAUGGGAUCUAUACAAUAGUUAUUGGUAAGCUUUAUUCAAUACCUUCACAUGUGCCAAACAAACAGUAAUUACACCAUUUAUAAGGGCACUUGUGUUGUAUAUUACAUUUUGUGACUUUGUAAUGUGUUUUACAGUCUCCUUGCUCCCCCUUCCGCACAGCUGCUGCUGCUGCUACUAGUACACUGUGAGCAGCGGGCAGUGUGCACUGCGUAAGCCUCCUAUGUACCUGUAUGGAGAGGAGCACACAUGGAUGGCACACAGGUCCCAGCAGCUCUGACACAGGCACUGCAUCCAGCGGCACAGCGUGGUGUGCACACCACUCUUAGCGUCACCGCAGACUCCAUAAGCAAUUCAAUACUGUUCCUACUCUACCCCCGUUGCUGCUCAGCCAAGGAAUUGGGCUGUAUUCUGAUUGGACGAAUUACAUAUUGCACAAGGAGGUGAAUGGGGCCGCUAUACUCAAGAGGCAAACCAUAAAGCACCGGAAACAAAGUGCCAGGUGCGUGGCAGUACAUAACGACAUCGCCCAAAGCACUGGCAGCACCAUACACAUACUUGUAAACACUAGAGAGCCAACAUCAGUGACUAAACUUCCGUCAAAAGAGACAUUCUGUCAGUAACUUCUGCAGCUGGACUUGGUCUCCAGCAAGAUGGCUACUAUACUAUUACUUCUGGUAUCUGGUUUGUUCACCUUUAUAUUACUCUGGGAGCACACAUCUCUCCCUCUGUUGUUUUGUGUGACACACUUCAAACAAGCGUGGGAUCAGUUAGUACCAAGACAACAUGGUUUACAGGAAAUUACUAGAUACGUUACUUAUAACAUUGUAAUUCAGUUGUAGCUUUACAUUAUACAUAUUUUAUAUGUAUUUUAAAAAAAAUGUAUAUAUAGAUAGAUCUAUAUAGAUAGAUAUCUAUAUGUAUGUGCGUGUGCAUAUACAUGUGUGUAUAUAUAGACAAAAAGAUAAUAAAAGGGAGCUCAAAUAUAUAUAAGCCUAUCUUAAUUGCAAUUGUCCGUACGAUACAUAGUAAAGGCAUUUUAUAUUUUCUUCAAACAAUAAAACCGUAUCGGUUUCCCGGAAACGUAAAGCUGGUGCAUGUCCCAAUAGGAAAGAUGUGCCUUCCCUGAAGUUCGUUUAAAUGUGCCACUUGUUUUCAAGCUCACAAACUCUUCAUACAUAGGUAUAUAAUAGCGAUAUUGUAAAUAGACCCUCAUACCGGAAGAAGACACCCCAAAAAAAAGGCAAAAAUACCACUGCUAAAUACAUAUAAUGCUUUUUACAAAUCGAUUGAAAAACUUUGUUAAAACAUAGAAUAACUUUCUGCUUCAUACAUCUCUUGUUGAGAUGUGGUUUAUUAUUUGAAUUGCGAUGGAGGUCGUAACAAGGGAUUAUUCGCAAAGUGAGUGACAGGGGAGUGGUCAGGUAAAACACAGGCGUCAUGGCCGUUCAGAUGGCGUUUUCUGGGCGUGCAUAAAUUAGCACUUUUGAUCUUACUUGCUACUGGAGUGCACUCAGCGUCCAAGGAGAAAAGUUCAGCCUGCGCGUCUUUAAAGGAACGAAGAAUCUGUGUGACAACCUGAUUUGCAAUGAUGGUACCAGUGUUUCUGCAUUUGUAUGUCAUUGAACGAAAAUGAUGAGACAGCAGUGAGCGCCCCUAUGCUCAGGUUAGCUUCUGCCCAUAUUAGCAUAUAAUCGCAAAUGUGAAUGGCAAAAAAUAGCAACAGCAGUAGCAAGAGCAACCACUUCAGAAUUAGCUCCAUAGUCAUUUGUAAAAAUAUAGGACCAGGGCUUGCAAGGAAUGCAUGUUGAAAAUAAUCAUGCCACACAUUAUGCAUUAA